GCCGGGUGUGGUGGCGCACACCUGUAGUCCCAGACACUUGGGAGGCAGACACUAGAGACUCGUUUGAGCCCAGGAGGCUGAAGCCGCAGUCAGCCAUGAUAACGCCACUGUACUCCAGCCUGGGCAACAGAGUGAGAUCCUGUCUCAA
rnacentral:SRP_RNA from 1 species